rnacentral:rRNA from 1 species
UGGGGAAUAUUGCACAAUGGGCGCAAGCCUGAUGCAGCCAUGCCGCGUGUGUGAAGAAGGCCUUCGGGUUGUAAAGCACUUUCAGCGAGGAGGAAGGCGUUAAGGUUAAUAACCUUGCGAGUAUACGUUACUCGCAGAAGAAGCACCGGCUAACUCCGUGCCAGCAGCCGCGGUAAUACGGAGGGUGCAAGCGUUAAUCGGAAUUACUGGGCGUAAAGCGCACGCAGGCGGUUUGUUAAGUCAGAUGUGAAAUCCCCGAGCUUAACUUGGGAACUGCAUUUGAAACUGGCAAGCUAGAGUCUUGUAGAGGGGGGUAGAAUUCCAGGUGUAGCGGUNAAAUGCGUAGAGAUCUGGAGGAAUACCGGUGGCGAAGGCGGCCCCCCUGGACAAAGACUGACGCUCAGGUGCGAAAGCGU